rnacentral:rRNA from 1 species
UACGGGGGGGGCAAGCGUUGUUCGGAAUUACUGGGCGUAAAGGGCUCGUAGGUGGCCAACUAAGUCAGACGUGAAAUCCCUCGGCUUAACCGGGGAACUGCGUCUGAUACUGGAUGGCUUGAGUUCGGGAGAGGGAUGCGGAAUUCCUGGUGUAGCGGUGAAAUGCGCAGAUAUCAGGAGGAACACCGGUGGCGAAGGCGGGUCUCUGGGCCGAUACUGACGCUGAGGAGCGAAAGCGUGGGGAGCAAACAGG